UGGGGAAUAUUGCACAAUGGGCGAAAGCCUGAUGCGGCGAUGCCGCGUAGAGGAUGAAGGUCUUCGGAUUGUAAACUCCUGUUAAACGGGAAGAAAUCUUCAUAAGCAAUAUGUGUGAAGGACGACGGUACCGUUAGAGAAAGCUCCGGCUAACUUCGUGCCAGCAGCCGCGGUAAUACGAAGGGAGCAAGCGUUAUUCGGAAUUACUGGGCGUAAAGAGCGUGUAGGCGGUUGGUUAAGUCAGUUGUUAAAGCCCCCGGCUUAACUGGGGAUCGGCAAUUGAUACUGAUUGGCUAGAGGGCAAGAGAGAGAAGUGGAAUACUCGGAGUAGCGGUAAAAUGCAUAGAUCUCGAGAGGAACACCAGUUGCGAAGGCGGCUUCUUGGCUUGUGCCUGACGCUAAAGCGCGAAAGCGUGGGGAGCAAACAGGAUUAGAUACCCUGGUAGUCCACGCGGUAAACACUGAUCACUGGAUGUGGGGUCUGUUUAACAGGUCCCGUGUCGAAGUUAACGCGUUAAGUGAUCCGCCUGGGGAGUACGGUCGCAAGAUUA
rnacentral:rRNA from 1 species